AAAGCCCUUGGACUGAGCUGGGCCAUACCACAGGAGGAGGCCGUUUCUGCCUGAGAGUGAAGAAAGACCUUACUACAUCCUGCUGUCUGGAGGUGCCUGUGCACUAAAUACACAUGUAAGGGUUUAUGAGCAACUCUGUCUCUGAACCUUCCUGCUAAAGGCCUUUAAAGUCAAUGGAAAUAUUCCCACUGAAGAAAAAUGGGUGUUGGAUUCACCCAAAAGCUCACCUGACAAACUGGUUUUGCAAAACUACUUUCCUGAGGCUGGAUGCUCCUAUGUAAAGAAGAUUCAGAAACGGAGAUUGCUCAUGUUAAUAGAAUUUACAAAGGACUGGAAGUAAUCACACUUGCUUUGUGACCUUGGGCAUUCAACCUGUCUGUGCCUCCAAAAUCCCAUCUGUAAAAUGGGGACAAUGAUUAAACUUCAGAGCUACAAA